UACGAAGGGUGCAAGCGUUAAUCGGAAUUACUGGGCGUAAAGCGCGCGUAGGUGGUUUGGUAAGUUGGAUGUGAAAGCCCCGGGCUCAACCUGGGAACUGCAUCCAAAACUGCCUGACUAGAGUACGGUAGAGGGUGGUGGAAUUUCCUGUGUAGCGGUGAAAUGCGUAGAUAUAGGAAGGAACACCAGUGGCGAAGGCGACCACCUAGACUGAUACUGACACUGAGGUGCGAAAGCGUGGGGAGCAAACAGG
rnacentral:rRNA from 1 species